UCUGUCCAGUCACGGCGCGGAUUGGCUGCGCAAGAUGGCGGCGCGCUUGGAGCGUAGCAUCUGCGUUUCCAGGAGCUUGGCUGUGUGAGUGGUGUGGGCUUGGUGAUUGCGGGCCUGUCCGCACUCCGUCCGCCUGCUCCAUUGGCCUGCGAGAUGGCUCUAAGCAAAUCAAUGCAUGCAAGAAAUAGAUACAAGGACAAACCACCUGACUUCGCAUAUCUGGCAUCUAAAUAUCCAGAUUUUAAGCAGCAUAUUCAGAUAAAUCUGAAUGGGAGAGUAAGUCUUAAUUUUAAAGACCCCGAAGCAGUCAGAGCUCUGACUUGUACUCUCCUGAGAGAGGACUUUGGACUUUCUAUUGAUAUUCCUUUGGAGAGACUAAUUCCCACAGUCCCCUUGAGACUUAACUAUAUUCACUGGGUAGAAGAUUUGAUUGGUCACCAGGAUUCGGACAAAACUACUCUCCGAAGAGGAAUUGACAUAGGUACUGGGGCAUCCUGCAUCUAUCCCUUACUUGGAGCAACCUUAAAUGGCUGGUAUUUCCUGGCAACAGAAGUGGAUGAUAUGUGUUUCAAUUAUGCCAAGAAAAAUGUAGAGCAGAAUAACCUAUCUGAUCUCAUUAAAGUGGUGAAAGUGCCGCAGAAGACACUCCUGAUGGAUGCGCUUAAGGAAGAGUCUGAGAUAGUCUAUGACUUCUGUAUGUGCAACCCUCCCUUUUUUGCCAACCAAUUGGAAGCCAAGGGUGUAAAUUCCCGGAAUUCUCGAAGACCUCCACCUAGUUCUGUAAACACCGGGGGCAUCACAGAGAUUAUGGCAGAAGGAGGUGAGCUAGAAUUUGUCAAAAGGAUCAUCCAUGACAGUUUACAGCUCAAAAAAAGGUUACGGUGGUAUAGCUGUAUGCUGGGAAAGAAAUGCAGUCUGGCUCCACUGAAGGAAGAGCUUAGAAUCCAAGGGGUUCCUAAAGUCACCUUCACAGAGUUUUGUCAGGGUCGGACAAUGAGAUGGGCCUUAGCUUGGAGUUUUUAUGAUGAUGUCACAGUACCGGUAAGUAAAGAUUUGCCUUGGCGUUUCCAUAUGCCUGUUGUGUGAUAAGCUUCGGUAGACCAUACAUACAGUCUGAUUCUGUGGUGUUCUGUUUUCCUCAAGUUUUAUCCAGAUGUUUAUGGUAAAUGAAAAGUAUUUGUAAAUAAGAGUAAUCCUAGCAUUUAUUAGUUAGAAGUUAAUCAUUGUCUUAGUUUGGGUUUUACUGUUGUAAACAGACACCAUGAUCAAGGCUACUUUUAUAAGGACAACAUUUAAUUGGGGCUGGCUUAUAGAUAGGUUCAGAGGUUCAGUCCGUUAUCAUCAAGGUGGGAGCAUAGCAAUGCCCAGGCAGGCAUGGUGCAGCAGUUGCUGAGAGUUCAACAUCUUGUUCCAAAGGCAGUCAGAAGAAGACUGACUUCCAGGCAGCCCAGACGAGGGUACCCAUGUCCACAGUAACACACUCAAUCUUGAUAGUGCCUCUUGAUAGUGCCACUUCCUGGGCCAAGCAUAUUCAAACCAUCAUAGUCCCACUCCUUGGCCCCCAUAGAUGCUUUCAAACAUGAGUCUAUGGGGGCUAUACCUAGCAUAAUGCAAAAUACAUUUAACCCAACUUCAAAAUGUUUCCAUAGUUUGUAACAGUCUGAACAAUGUUAAAAUUUCAAAGCCUCUUCUGAGAGCCAUCCAAUCACUUAACUGUAAUCCCCAAAGAAAGAUGGGAAACCAGCUGGGCUGUUGUCAGACUCCAAACUCUGCAUCUCCAUGUCUGAUCUCCUAGUCUUGUUUCAUCUUUGUUUUCUUCUUUUUUUGGGGGGUGGGUGGGGUUGAGACAGGGUUUCUCUAUAUAGUCCUGGCUGUCCUGGAACUCACUUUGUAGACCAGGCUGGCCUCGAACUCAGAAAUCUGCCUGCCUCUGCCUCCUGAGUGCUGGGAUUAAAGGCGUGCUCCACCAUGCCUGGCCUGUUGUAACUUUUUUAUUGGGGGGGCUUGAACCCAGUGUCUCGAUCAUAGUGGGCAAAUGCUGUACCCUUACGCUAUACUCCCAGCUCUGUGGCUAUGUCCUUUUCGUGUGUAACACUUUGGGAUUGUGCUAAUCUCAGUAAAAGGCUCUGGUUCAUGUUUCAUAAUUACCAUUAGAAAGUGUAUGUAGGUAGCAUGUGCCAGUAGUCCCAAGGAGCCAGCCUCAGACAGAGAGAGCAGCUGGGAUUGUGGCUCAGUAGGUAAGAGUGCUUUCUGCUUUUCCAGAGUGGAGUUCAGAUCUUAAACCCCACAUCUGACAGGUCACAACACCAGAAACUACAGCUCCAGGGGCUCCAGUACCCUCCUGGUCUCCAUAUGUACCUGCCUGAGUGUGUGCAUGUGCACAGAUGAGUGCAUGUGUGUAUGCUCACAUGUGCACAUGCACACACACAAACACACACAAAAGCCACUCAUUUUUAAGAUUUAUUUAGUUUAUGUAUAUGAGUGGACUAUCUGCAUGAACACCUGCAUGCCAGAAGAGGGCAUCAUAUUCCAUUAUAGAUGGUCAUGAGUUACCAUGUGGUUGCUGGGAAUUGAACUCAGGACCUCUGGAAGAGCAGUCAGUGCUCCUAAAUGUUUAGCCAUCUCUCCAGCUCAAAAGCCACAUCUUUAUUUAUUAUUUAUUUUAUAAGAUUGGUUCCCAAAUUUCUCUCUCUCUCUCUCUCUCUCUCUCUCUCUCUCUCUCUCACACACACACACGCACACGCACACGCACACGCACACAGACUGAGUGGUUUCUGAGCCUCCCUGGGAAGUGAUGGUAAGCAGCACCUGUCUGUUCUUAUAUGUCCCUGCAAGAGUGGUCUGCUUUUUGUUGCCUGGAGCCACACAUUCUAACCUUUGCUCAGCUAUUCAGCUCUUCUCAUGGUGUGUAUGGAGGCUAGUAGGGGUUCUUGCAGGUCUCUAUCCGGGUCUGUAUAGCAGGCUUGUUUUGGGAGUGUCUCUUCUAAGGAUUUGGCCAUUCUUGUCUUCAGAGGUAUCCAAAAUGUUGUUGUCUUUGAGAUUCUGUUGCUAUAGACAAAGAGGUAGAUGUGUGUGGGAGCACAGAGGGACGAUUUGCAUAUGCUUCCAUGUUUCUGAACAUAUGAAGUGCGAUUUGAAGCUGAGCCAACAACUAGUUGUACUGCAGGAUUGAAAUUGCUCCUAUAGAGUGUCCUUUCUAUGGAAGCCUGGGUUUGCUUCCAGAUUUUUGGCAGGGCACCUAAAGCUUAGUGUUUGAUUUGAUCACUAAUUAAAAAGAUGCCUCUGCUUUCCAUAGCUCCACCCUCCUUCAAAUAUUAUCCUAUUGUUUUCUAGACUACUAGGAUCUGAACAGCAGAUGGUUCAAAUCAUUAGCAGUGCCCCAAACUGUCCCCAUACAGACACAAACAGCUGUGGGAAAUCGAAGCAGCACCUGCUUCCAAGAGUGUCUGCAUUUUUUUUUUUUCAGAGACAGGGCUUCUCUGUAUAGCCUUGGCUGUCCUGGAACUCACUUUGUAGACCAGGCUGGCCUCGAACUUAGAAAUCCGCCUGCCUCUGCCUCCCAAGUUCUGGGAUUAAAGGUGUGCUCCACCAUCACCCAGCGAGAGUGUCUGCUUAACCUGCAGCCCACAUUUUUGACACAGCUGGAACAAGCUCAAAAUGGGCUCUGAUACUCCCCGAAGCAGCUCAGGGACAUAUUCCUUUGCCCUCUUUGAUUGAGGGAGUCAUCACAGAUGCUAGUGUUGAAGGGCAAGUGUCUUUUUGCAAAGUCAGCGUCUAUCUAUCUAUCUAUCUAUCUAUCUAUCUAUCUAUCUAUCAUCUGUCUGUCUGCUUGCUUAGAAAAGGAAACCAUGAACAGCCUUUCUCCUUUUCAUGGUAUCUUAUAGCCUUGCAGUUUCUAGCCAUCAAAGAAUGCCACUCAAUAAAGGCCUGAGAUUCCUUCCUUGCUACACAGUAUUUUUCCCUCCACACCACUGCCAUCACCCCUAAGCUGCUAAUAAUGCAUUCCCCAGUGUUCUAUUAGAUGCACUGAAACUGCUGGGUGUCUAUGUGUGGCAGUUUCUGAUUUGUAGUAACCCAGCAACAGUUUCUCAGCACUGGCGCUCAUGAUCAACGAUGGCCUUUCCCCAGGGUAGAUCCAGGUUACUCAGGAGAUUUCGGGUUGACCUUCCUCUUGGUUCCCCUGCCUUGUGGGAAGCUCACCUGACACUCCUUUCUUGAUCUUGUUAGGGAGCGGGCAGGAGGAGAAUGCUCUUUCAGUCUGGAGAGGAAGACAUGGAGUAGACCUGGUUAAGCAGAAACACUGACCUACUUCCCCAUCUCCAGCCUGCCGUUUAGCGUGAUGUGCAAGUUCCUAUGUCACCUCCAAGUAAACGAAGAAAAUUAGAAAAGCCAAGGAAACCCAUUACUUUUGUAGUGUUGGAGUCUGUGAUGAAAGAAUUGUCUCUCAAAGCUUCAUCUUUGGGCUCCGAGACAGCGGAAGGCAUAGUGGUUGUAACAACAUGGAUAGAAAAGAUCCUGACUGAUCUGAAGGUGCAACAUAAGCGAAUUCCCUGUGGAAGAGAAGAAGUUAGCCUUUUCCUGACAGCCAUAGAAAACUCUUGGAUUCAUUUAAGGCGGAAGAGAAGAGAGCGAGUGAGGCAGCUGCGGGAGGUGCCUCGGGCUCCUGAGGACGUCAUCUUAGCCUUGGAAGAGAGAAAGUCCACUCCCAAAGAGCUGAGUAGUGGCCAAGACGUGGCCCACAGCCCCCAAGAGAGUGCCCUGUGUGGGCUUGAUGUGCCGGGCGGCGAGGCUGCUGCUGAUGGAGGCCAUUGCCUCAGCCAGAAGUUACUGUGCCAGGAGGAGACUCCCGAGGCCACGGAGGAUGAAAGGGAUGAGGAAAGGGGAGGGAUGGAGGCCAUGGAAAGUUGUAAAGGCUCCAGCAAUGGAGCCCAGGACGGAGAGGCUUCUGAGAAGGGGGAUCGCCUGGAUGGGGCGGCCGGACGCUACCUGUUUAAGUGUUUAGUCAACAUUAAGAAGGAAGCUGGCGAUGCCGUGGUUGAAAUGCAUUGGGUUGAGGGCCAGAAUAGGGAUUUGAUGAACCAGCUUUGCACUUACGUACGUAACCAAAUUUUGAGGCUUGUUGCUAGUUAAUUCUUAAUUUCUUCCUCAGUUAGAAAAGUGAUGUAUGGGGCUAGGGAUAUGAUGCAAUGACCUUAUGUGCUUAGUAUCCAGAAGUUACCCUGUGUUGAGUCCCUUACAUCUAACAUCAUUACAAGGAAAAAAAAAACCCAUAUUAUAAAAUAGCUUGCUUUGGAGGUAGAGCCUAUUGGGAGGCCAGCAGAAUUUCACCACUGGUCCAUGAGUGACACCAUGUGGAAUCUUCUUUAAAAAACACAAAUUUAGUUGGAUGUGCUCUGUGGCACUUGUAACCCCACUACUUGGAGGCAAAGGCAGGAAGAUGGCUAUGGGUGUAAGGGCAGCCUGUGCUACAGAGACAGACACUCGUCUAAAUAAAAAGAAGGAAAAAGGAAAGCAGCAGUGGAUCCAUUUUUAACCCUUGCCCUCUUCACAGCAGCUAAACCUAGGAGGAGCAGAUCAUCGCAGCCAAAGGCCAGAGGGGCUCUGGUGGCAUCUGGUGUGGGUCAGGGCUGCCUAGAAAGUGUCUGUCACCAAGGGUUGCUUGGUGACAAGGGCAACAGUGUUCUCCAGUGGAGGUCCUGCUCAUGGCUGCCUUCAAGAUAUCUGCUUUCUCAAGGAAACAGAAUUGAGCGAGCUGGUUCCCAGAAAGGAGCUAGCCUGUUGAUAGGUGACGAGAGUGUCAGGGAGAGUCAUCUUAGUCGAGCCAAGGAGAGGGCCUGUCUGGGGAACACACAGGAAGCUGCACGUUCAUCGCCCACCACUAUUCUGACAUUGCCUAUUUCAGAACCAGAGUUGAAUAAGCAAAACUCUGAGAUGUAGCUGAGGCACAAUAAAGUGUACCCACCAACCCACCGACAGCAUUGUUUUGUAACAAUUGUACUGCCUUUUUUUUUAAAUGUGAAAUGGAAUCUUUUGGUUUUUAAUAUAAGACUUAAUAAUUGAAAACUAUUGAUCCUGUUUGAAUCCUGGAAUUGGGGAAAUACUUUCUUGGGUUUAAGUUGGGUAGAUGGUUGAUGUGACAAAUGAGGAACUAAGUAAGGUCUAUGUGUACUAGGUGGGGUGUAGGGGGUCACUGGUAGAACGUUCAUCAAUGUUUGUAGGCCCCGAGUUCCAUCCUCAGAACAAUAGAAAACAGGUAUUGGUGUGGUGUAGACUGGAAUCUUCUAUGUUGACAGUUAAUUGUUGACCAAAUCCUGCUUUUUUGGUGGCUGCCCUUGUCACUCUCUUACUGCUCAUCUGCUAACAUUGGACAAUACUGUGCCCAGAGUAACCAUAUGUGAAACACAUUUCUAAUGGGAAUGCCAGGGUUCUGCAGAUCUCUUUGGAGAAGUCUCAGCUUUGUUCUUCUGUGUCUCAGAAACAGUCUGUUGUACUGGAUUCUUGACUUGCUGCCUAGGGUUCAUAGGGACAAACUGGUAUCGCUCCUGAUACAGUGCCUGAGCUCUUCGGCAUCCAUAAAGUAGUUAAGCUCCAUUUUCAGAGGUGGCUAUACUUUUUGGCAAAGGUAUAAGGAAAUGUAAAUAGUGCAGUGGGGUUGAAAGCUGGGAAAGAACAUUUUAGCCAUGGUCUUCCAGAGAUGCUAGGAGCAUGUUUUCUUCCCACAACCCUUCCCCCUGGAGAUCUGAUCUAUGACAUUGUGAUCAGAAACCAACUUAGGAAAAAAACACUGUUCUAGACAAUUUAUCCAUCCAUUGGACAGCAUGAAGAAACCAAUAUCAUAAACUGUUCCAAGAUUGAAUUCACGGCCUUAGAUUGCCUACAUCCAGUAAUUAUGUCUAUUUGGGAGUAUGUGUAUGUGAGUGCAGGUGCUUGCAGAGGCAUCAGAUCCCCUGGAGCUGAAGUUCCAGGCAACUGUGAGCUACCUGGUAUGGGUGCUGGGAACCAAACUUGGGUCUCUGCAAGAAUAAUUCAUACUCUUAGCCAACUAGCCAUCUCCCUAGCCCCUGUUGUUGCUUUUGAGACAGGGUCUCAUGUAUCCUCAGACAUGAUGUGUAUCUGAGGUUGAAUUUAACAUCCUUUUCUUCCAGUAUCUGUAUCCUUUGUGCUGGAAUUACAAGUCAGAGUUAUGUGGUACUAAUGCUCCAGUGAACCUGGGACUUCUGUGUGCUAGGCAAAUGUUCUCCCAACUGAGCUGCAUCCUCAGUCGUCAAAUCUAGUUUCCUUAAUGAAAUCCUGGGAUCUCUGAGCUCAGUGGCAGUUAAGUGCCAGAGAACCUGGCAGAUAUUUAAUAAAUAAUAAAUGUUUGUUUCAUCAUAGGUUAGCAGAUGUUCAAUGAUUUUGAAACAGAAAUGGCUAGAGGUGCAAUUGUAGUAGAACAUUUGCCUAGCAUGCACAGGGCCCUGAAUUCAAUCCUUAGCACUGCAGAACACACAAGUUACCUAGGAGAUUGGCCUUCUAGCGGCUAAUAGUAUUUUCAUGUUUUCUCCUGGUCUUUCUGUAGGUGUAUGUGGUUAUUUUGAGUUGUAUUAUUUUGUUUAAUUUUCUGUUGUACUUUUUGUUUAGCUUAGAUUUUUUUCAUGUUUUUAUAAUUAUGUAUUUUUUUUACACAUUUUGCCCAUUUAAAAUGCCCUUCCAGCACAGUAUUGACUUUUGAUUAUGUCUAGUUGUUAGAGAACACUCUUUGUUACUGGAGUUAGAUAAGUUGAAUCUGCAUCUGUGUUUCGUUCCUAGGGUUGAGACUCUAAUGGAGAAGGCUGUAUAGAUGCUAAGAUAAUGUUCCUAGAAUUUGAAAACGUUUGACAAGAGCAGUAUCGCUAUGGUCUUUAAAAAAAACUAGAGCUAUGAGUAUCUUUGCAUUUUUGAUUGCCUUUUUUUCUUACAUUGUCUAAUGAGAUGACAUUGUUUUGUUUCAUUUCUCAAGACAAGCUUUCUCUGUAGCCUUGACUCUCCUGAAACUCACUCUGUAGACUAGGCUGGCCUUGAACUCACAGACAUCUCAGUGCUGGAAUUAAAGGUAUGUGCCGCCACCACCUGGCAACAUUGAAGACAUUUUAAAGGGACAUCUGAGGGUCUGGUCAUAUAUGUGCUUUAUAAUUGAAGAGAAGUUUUUUAAAGAAAUGAGUUAAGUGCUGUGGUAUAGAAUGACUCUCUGCUUAAGUGUCUAGAGUCAAGUUUGUGUUGGUGCUGGUGGAUUGAUAUGAAAUUAAAUCUUUGUGGUAUUAUCUUAAAUUCUAUUCUGGUCCCUGGAAUUGGCUUCUGAUCUCCUGAUAGCUAAAGUGGGAACAGAAGCUGAACUUGUUUUCCAGUGAGAACUAAAGUGCUUUUGUUUAGAAUCUGCUGGGUUUUGUCAGUGUGGUUCCUUCACCCCAUCUGUGCUCAGUUGUUCCUACAUUAGAGCUUUGCUGUACUUUGAGACCAAGUUGGCAACUCUGAGGAGGACUUUGUGCUAACCUUAAGUGUUCAGGUCGAUUAGUUAAUUUUAGAAAACAAACCCUUCCAUUUCAUGAUGGAAAUCAAAGCUGCUGUGGUCCAAUAGGAGUAACUGGCCAGGUGUGGAAAGAUGUGAAAGUCCCAUGCAAAGGCAGCCCAAGGCCAUUUUGUUUUAUUUUGUUUGGGUUUUGAAACAGGGUCUCAUUCAUUCAGGCUGGCCUCGAACUUUUGAGGUAGCCAAGGCAGGCACUUAACUCCUGGUUCUCCUGCCACCACUUGCGCAGUUUCUGGGCUUACAGAUGUUGCCAUCUUAUGUGGUUUUAUGUGGUUCUGGGGAUUUAACCCAUGCCUUUGUUAGUGUAGGGCAAGUCCUGUACAGCCUGAGCCUCAUCCCUUAUCAGAGAAGGGAGUAAAUGCUGGCUGUGAUGACCUCCUUGUAAGCUCAGCAUGUGGGGAGUGGAAGGCAGGCUGAGGUCAGAGUUGCUCUUGCCUCCAUUGUGAGUUCAGGGCAGAGGGAGUUGUGUGAGAGAGAUGCUGUCUGUCUUCAUAGCUUUCUUAACUUGCAGCACUUUUCUUCUGGAACCACACGGGGGCACCUUCAGAUCCUUUAAUCAUGAUCCUGAACUUUACUGUGAGAGUGGAUCAAGUUAUAUCCAUAUCUGUGGAAUUUUCUUUAAAUAUCCAGUUGUAUCCAGAGAAGUACUUAUGUAAGCAGGUAUAUUUUCACACAAAAAAAAUUUAAAUGGGAGUAUAAGGAAGAAUAACAGUUACUCCCUGCAGUCUUUAUUUGGCCUGAUUCCUUUUAAAUGUUCUGUGUUUUUAGUCUCGCCUGAGCAGUUUUUCUCUUUUACACCCCUGUUGACUCUAGAAUAUACUCAGAUUGGACCUGUCUUUUGGAUCCAUUUCUUUUCUUCUUUUUUAUUUUUUUUAAAAGAUUUAUUUAUUUAUUAUAUGAGUACACUAUAGCUGUCUUCAGACACUCCGGAAGAGGGCGUUAGAUCUUGUUACGGAUGGCUGUGAGCCACCAUGUGGUUGCUGGGAUUUGAACUCGGGACCUUCGGAAGAGUAGUUGGUGCUCUUAACUGCUGAACCAUCUCACUAGCCCUGGAUCUAUUUCUUAAAUUGUUGUGGGGUUAAUGAGGAUCCUGGGGAAGGGGUGGUAGUAACUGGUCAAAAGCUCAAUGCUCCAGGACUGGUAAGAUAGAUCUCCUAGAGAAAUGAGUUUCCAUCUUGCUCUGAGUGUGAUCUUAUUGGCAGGCUAACAUGCAUGUGAGAAGUUACUCGUAGGAAGAGUGGUGUGGGUUCUCUGUUGUUUGUUUCUAUAAACUAGCUGGGCCUUUUUUUCUUAAGGAUGUUUCUGUAUAGGUUAGAACGUGCAUAUGACUAGCCCUGUAUGGUUGUAGGCUCAAGGAGAAACUCUUUGUCUCUUUAUGGUACAAGGUCAGGGUCAGCAGUGACCCUUGCAUGCUGUUUACAAACUUUAGUUACUGCUCCUUGAGUAUGGAGGCGUCUUGGGCACCAUCGGGAGUGCCCUGAGGAAGGGGAGAAGGGGAUGUGUUUACAUUGUUUUUAGGGAGUUUGUUGCUCUGAAGAUUUCAUUUGCUGAAUGGCCAUCUCCUCAGUAAAGUCUUGUCAUGUUCAUUAAUAGAACAAUUGGCCUUUGCCUCUUAAAGGAAGCAUUAAUGGUUUUGAAAGGUGCUAAUCAUCCCAUGUGCCUUGUGUGGGUACCACUGUAGUGUUAAAAUGCCUGGCUCAGGGUACUCAGAGCAAUAGAGCUUACACAUGCCUAAGAUCCUGUUCUGUUCUGGAAAGAUCUGCUGUGACUCACUCAAAUGACUAAAACAGUGGUUCGUUUCUUUAAUUGCUGGUUGGAGCAACUAAUGCUGCCUUUGUGAAUCUGUGCUUUUACCCUGGGAAACUAUGUUGUGACUGAGUGAAGACCUCGUAUGUCUUUGGGAUAUAGGCUAUCUGGCUGUCUGAGUCCAAGCAAGAAAGCUCAGGGCCUCUAGGCUCUCCUUGGGAGAUAGAAGAUCAUGGGUGUUCCUUAGCAACAGGGAAAGUGAACAGGAGAGCAAGGUACAGGGCUGAAGUUCAGCUGCACUUGGCAGAAGUGGCUUGGAAGUAAGCUCAGAGGAGGGCAAGCUUGUACUCCAGGUACUGUUCACCCAGGGCAGGGAGCAGUGGGAGAGCGCAGCUUGGCAGCCUCUCAGCACUGGGUUAGCAGUGCUGUUCCACUCCUUAUAUAGGGCACCAGUUUGACUGGGCUUCGGCCUCUGGAGAGUGAGACGUGAGAGCGCCCUGCCUGCGGGAGGACUCAACAGCAGGGGACUUCAGACACAGCAGGGGACUUCAGAAACAGCAGGGGACUUCAGAAACAGCAGGGACUUGAGACACAGCAGGGACUUCAGACACGAUGACAUUUCAACUUGUGUCCUCUCCUCACUGUGUGGAGAGUCGUAGAGCUUUGUCAGAAACUCUCCUGCUGUUGGUCUCAGGUGAGAAGGUUAAGACCUUGAUUAAACCUUUAAGGGUAGGUAGGCAGCUGUAGAGUACUGCUUAUGGACCAAGAGCAAAGCCACCUUGUGUGUCAUGAAAUGAUCAGGAACUGACCAUUGGUAGUACAUCUUCCAUAGAGAUUGUCUCAUGUAGUCACCCUAUUAGGUGUUGUCGUAUCCCUGCGUGGCUGCUGAAAGCAACAGAAGCUUCAAGACCUUCCGUAACUUACCCUAAUGUUAUUGACUGAGCCAAGGCACAGAAGCAGGAUUUGAACUCAGGUCCAAGAAGCUAAAGGCUGGGCUCUAGCACCAAAUAUAGAAAUGCUAUGACAAAUAAUUCAUAUAAGGAAAAAAUGCAUUUUUAAGUCUGUUUCCUCCACCUCUACGUUAUUACAUGGCACAGGGAAGCCAGAACAAACACGGUUUUCCCACCCUCACAGUUCAGCACUUAAAGUAGUAUCAUUUACUUGCCUAUGUCAGUGAGUGAGAUCUAGUAAGUGAAAUUAGUUACUUCUUAACUUAUGCCACCAAAUCUUCACAGAGCCUUGUAUUUGGCAGUAAUGUAGAUAAUUAAGUAGCUAAUGAAACCAUAAAAUCAGUGUCUGGUGAAAGCACGUUGGACCAGAAUCAAUGUGAAAUAAGUGAUAAUUAGGUAAUGCCUCUUCAACAGUACAUAAUUAUAUAAUAAUAGAAGGAGGUUUUGUUCUGUUUUAAACACUAUAGUUCCAAAUAUUUUACUAUGGAGCUACACAAAACCCAUACAUAUGCUUUGUAAGCUUGCCAUUGAAGGUAGGAUUGACACAAGAUCAUCAAGUUCUUUUCCUAGGAAGGCAAGAGAAACUGUAGGUUUGAGAGCCACAGGGGCCUUGGAGUCUAGAAGGAAAGCCAGGUAUUCCCAGCUGGGGGACUUGGCUAGAUGCUGUAGCUACUAGACCCCCAGAGGAGGUGACAGCUUGUUUUGCUAAUUGUUCAAAAGAGCAGCCUACCUGGAGAGCGGGACCCUCUAGGGAUGGUAGUUUCCUGAUGAUGCAGAAAGAGCAGGUGUAGACACAACACAACAAGAGAACCUGUAUGGGGCUGUUUUCAGAAGAAGGUAGAGUGGAAAAUGGUGCCAUCAGCAGUUCAGGGGAGAUUAAACAAUGAUACCUCAGAGAACAAAGCAGAGGCAACCUUCCCCUCCAAGACACUUCCUCCAAGACUGGCCACCACAUCUCCAGCCUUUCACUUAUCAAGUUUUCAUAUUUAAGAUUUAGGAAAUGAGUAAGCUACAAUUCCAUCACUCAAGUGAAAUUUCAUUUCGUUGUGUUUGUAUGCAUAUGCAUUUUAAACAACUGUGGGAUCAGUCAUUGUACAGUAUACUUCUAUAACAUAUUUAGCAGUAUAUUGUAAUGUCUCCCCCCCCCCCCUUUCUGAGUAUAAGGCUAAUAGUCUGUUUUAGGAAAGCUGUGGAAAUCAGAAUGACCAGUACCCACCCUGCCCGAGGCCAGCCACUGCCACUUCUGUCCCAGCAAAAAGCCUGCUCGUUAUAUGCUCCAGUGUGUUUUGAACACACCGCACUAAGCUGGUUGUUCCUAGUUGGAAAUGUUGAUUGUCAUGAAAAAGGAUUUCCUUGUUGUAAAAAAACAUUUUACCAUAUGUCCUUGAAAGUUUUAAUGUAGUUUUUUGAGGGUUAAAUUUGCCUGGAGUUUCCAAGGCAGAGAGUUCCACCCCCUUACUUUGCCCACUGGAAAGGGUCUGGGGUAACAUACACUUCCAUGAACGAUUGGCUGGUUUUGCCAUACCUUUGAUAGUGAUAGGAUGCUGAUUUUUAAUUUCAGUUGGGCCUGACUGUCUGCAUCUGUAAGUGUUAGUGCCCUUGGAGGCCGGAAAUGGAAUGAGCUGCAGGACAUGCAUGCUAGGAACUAAACUCAGUCCUGUGCAAAAGUAGCUCUCUCUGCACCAUCUCUCCAGCCCCAGAGAGCUAUUCUAAAAAGAUUAUCAAUUGGAAAAAAAAAAUGUGUCAUGUUUGAAUCUUAUUAUGGAACUGACCAGUGUCGUCUUCAGCUGUGUCUGUUGUUAUUUCACGGAUAGAUCUUAAAAUGUUAGCUUUAUGUCUGUUAACUAUUGAAAAUGUCUUUUGCAAGGAUUCCUUCCACUUGUGAUUUCUUCCCCCUCCUCUUUGUAAUGAUGGUUUCAUUUUUACAGUUAAGAUUUUCUAGGGAUAAUCAAA